rnacentral:rRNA from 1 species
CUUCGGUGUGAGUAGAGUGGCGGACGGGUGAGUAACACGUGGGAAUCUACCCAGUAGUGGGGGACAACUACCGGAAACGGUAGCUAAUACCGCAUACGCCCUAUGGGGGAAAGGCUUCGGCCGCUAUUGGAUGAGCCCGCGUCAGAUUAGCUAGUUGGUAGGGUAAAGGCCUACCAAGGCAACGAUCUGUAGCUGGUCUGAGAGGACGAACAGCCACACUGGGACUGAGACACGGCCCAGACUCCUACGGGAGGCAGCAGUGGGGAAUAUUGGACAAUGGGCGAAAGCCUGAUCCAGCAAUGCCGCGUGUGUGAAGAAGGCCUGCGGGUUGUAAAGCACUUUCAGUUGGGAAGAUGAUGACGUUACCAACAGAAGAAGCACCGGCUAAAUCCGUGCCAGCAGCCGCGGUAAUACGGAUGGUGCGAGCGUUAAUCGGAAUUACUGGGCGUAAAGCGCGCGUAGGCGGCUAAGUCAGUCAGAAGUGAAAGCCCCGGGCUCAACCUGGGAAUUGCUUUUGAUACUGCUUAGCUAGAGUUUGGUAGAGGACAGUGGAAUUCCAGGUGUAGCGGUGAAAUGCGUAGAUAUCUGGAGGAACAUCAGUGGCGAAGGCGACUGUCUGGACCAAAACUGACGCUGAGGUGCGAAAGCGUGGGUAGCAAACAGGAUUAGAUACCCUGGUAGAAGGGC